rnacentral:lncRNA from 1 species
AAAAUCUUCAAUUUUCAGUCUCAAAUGGCAGCAACAACAUCUACAGCAACAACAACAACCCUGUUGAUCGAUCUCACGCGCUCUCCACGCUCCACCCUUCGCUACUUCUCGUCAAACAAUGUUCACAUUCUUCAUCACCAACCCUUCACUUCUACACUCAUCCACAAUCGUCGUUCAAAUCUCACAACCAUCAAUUGCAAUAGCAAG